rnacentral:sRNA from 1 species
CUCACUGCUAAGCUCUCUCUCACUGCUAAUCUAUUUCUCACUGUUAAUCUAUCUCUCACUACUAAGUUAUCUAUCACUGCUAAUCUAUCACUGUCAAUCUAUCUAUUGCUGUCAAUCUAUUGCUGCUAAUCUAUCACUGCUAAUCUAUCGCUGCCAAUCUAUCACUGCUGUCAAUCUAUCUAUCACUGCUAAUCUAUCGCUGCUAAUCUAUCGCUGCUAAUCUAUCGCUGCCAACCUAUCUACCGCGGCGAAUCUAUCUAUUGCUGCCAACCAACCUACCUACCACUGCCAACCUAUCUAUUGCUGCCAAUCUAUCACUGCCAAUCUAUCUACUGCAGUGAAUCUAUCUAUCACUAUCAUUACUAGUACAAAAUAGAACUAGAGCAUAAACACACUAAACUUCUUUUGAUAGGUAAUGAUUUUUGGUAACGCUCAUAGCAUUAUAUCAUCUAUAUAGGGUAAAUCAUGGUCCCAUUUGGUCUUGCCUGUAUUUUACAUCACACAAGGACUCGUCAUAAGCGCUGCUUGCAUACAAGUAUAACAGA